rnacentral:rRNA from 1 species
UACAGAGGUCCCAAGCGUUGUUCGGAUUCAUUGGGCGUAAAGGGUGCGUAGGCGGCGCGGUAAGUCGGGUGUGAAAUCUUGGAGCUUAACUCCGAAACUGCAUUCGAUACUGCCGUGCUUGAGGACUGGAGAGGAGACUGGAAUUUACGGUGUAGCGGUGAAAUGCGUAGAUAUCGUUAGGAAGACCAGUGGCGAAGGCGGGUCUCUGGACAGUUCCUGACGCUGAGGCACGAAGGCCAGGGGAGCAAACGGG